CCUUCGGGGUCGGGUGAAAUUCCCAACCGGCGGUGAUGAGGUAUAGCCUCCAGCCCGUGACCCGUUUUCAUUUGAUUGGAAACGGUGGAUUUGGUGAGAUUCCAAAGCCGACAGUAAAAGUCUGGAUGGGAGAAGGA
rnacentral:ncRNA from 1 species